AUACGUAGGGAGCGAGCGUUGUUCGGAUUUACUGGGCGUAAAGCGUCCGUAGGCGGUCGGGUAAGUCGGGUGUGAAAGCCCCGGGCUCAACCUGGGAAGUGCACCCGAUACUGCUCGACUCGAGUGCGGGAGAGGAUGGCGGAAUUCCCGGUGUAGCGGUGAAAUGCGUAGAGAUCGGGAGGAACACCAGUGGCGAAGGCGGCCAUCUGGCCCGCAACGGACGCUGAGGGACGAAAGCGUGGGGAGCAAACAGGAUUAGAUACCCUAGUAGUCC
rnacentral:rRNA from 1 species